rnacentral:ncRNA from 1 species
CAAUGGAAUAAGAACUCUGCAUUCCGGCGUUAUGCCGGAAAGGAAGUCCGGUGAGAAUCCGGCACAGACUCUCUCUGCUGUGAUGGCAACGAACAGGACAACAGGCCACUGGAGGAAGUUCUCCGGGAAGGCGUCCCAAGUAGGAUAGAAAGCCUAAGUCAGAACACAAAUAACAGAGUUGACUGUUUGUA